rnacentral:rRNA from 1 species
CUGGCGGCAGGCCUAAGACAUGCAAGUCGUACGCGAACGACCUUUCGGGGUUAAGUAGAGUGGCGAACGGGUUAGUAACGCGUGGGAACAUACACAGCACAGGGGGAUAACCAUUGGAAACGAUGGCUAAUACCGCAUACGCCCUAUUGGGGAAAGAUUUAUCGGUGUUGGAUUGGCCCGCGUUAGAUUAGCUAGUUGGUGGGGUAAUGGCUCACCAAGGCGACGAUUUAUAGCUGGUUUGAGAGGAUGAUCAGCAACACUGGAACUGAGACACGGUCCAGACUCCUACGGGAGGCAGCAGUCGGGAAUAUUGUGCAAUGGGGGCAACCCUGACACAGCCAUGCCGCGUGAGUGAAGAAGGCCUUAGGGUUGUAAAGCUCUUUCAGAUGUGAGGAUGAUGACGAUAGCAUCAGAAGAAGCUCCGGCUAACUUCGUGCCAGCAGCCGCGGUAAUACGAAGGGAGCUAGCGCUGUUCGGAAUUACUGGGCGUAAAGGGCGUG